rnacentral:tRNA from 1 species
GAGGGUAUAACUCAGUGGUAGAGUAUGUGCUUAGCAUGCAUGAGGUCCUGGGUUCAAUCCCUAGUACAUCCA